rnacentral:rRNA from 1 species
GACGAACGCUGGCGGCGUGCUUAACACAUGCAAGUCGAACGGAAAGGCCUGCUUUCCCUUGUGGAUUGCGGGUACUCGAGUGGCGAACGGGUGAGUAACACGUGAGUGAUCUGCCCCCAACUUGGGUAUAAGCCUGGGAAACUGCGUCUAAUUCCCGAUAGGACUGCAGGGUGGUGCCUGUGGUGGAAAACGAUUUUCUAGUGGUUGGGGAUGAGCUCGCGGCCUAUCAGCUUGUUGGUGGGGUAAUGGCCUACCAAGGCGGCGACGGGUAGCCGGCCUGAGAGGGUGGACGGCCACAUUGGGACUGAGAUACGGCCCAGACUCCUACGGGAGGCAGCAGUGGGGAAUAUGGCACAAUGGGCGGAAGCCUGAUGCAGCGACGCCGCGUGGGGGAUGACGGCCUUCGGGUUGUAAACUCCUUUCGACCGCGAGGAAGCCACCUGGUUGGAAGGGUGGUGACGGUAGUGGUAGAAGAAGCACCGGCUAACUACGUG